CUGUAGCGCAAUGCAUAGCGCGUUGGACUUCUGAUCCAAAAGUUGUGGGUUCAAAUCCCUUCUGAAAUGG